GACGAACGCUGGCGGCGUGCUUAACACAUGCAAGUCGAACGCUGAAGCUCAGCUUUUGUUGGGUGGAUGAGUGGCGUACGGGUGAGUAACACGUGAGUAACCUGCCCCCUUCUUUGGGAUAACGCCCGGAAACGGGUGCUAAUACUGGAUAUUCACUGGUCUUCGCAUGGGGGUUGGUGGAAAGGGUUUUUCUGGUGGGGGAUGGGCUCGCGGCCUAUCAGCUUGUUGGUGGGGUGAUGGCCUACCAAGGCUUUGACGGGUAGCCGGCCUGAGAGGGUGACCGGUCACAUUGGGACUGAGAUACGGCCCAGACUCCUACGGGAGGCAGCAGUGGGGAAUAUUGCACAAUGGGCGCAAGCCUGAUGCAGCGACGCCGCGUGAGGGAUGGAGGCCUUCGGGUUGUGAACCUCUUUCGCUCAUGGUCAAGCCGCAACAAUGGUUGUGGUGAGGGUAGUGGGUAAAGAAGCGCCGGCUAACUACGU
rnacentral:rRNA from 1 species